GCGAAGGACGGGGUAGCGGCCGGGGUAGGAGGGAGGGGGCAAGGGUGGGCCGAAGUGAAUGGGGGGGAAGGGCGUGGAGGCGGGCUGUUAAGUUCAGGGGGAAAGCGCCCGGCUCAACUAGGGGAGGUCCUUGGAGACUGGCAGGCUGGAGGGAGGUAGAGGAGAGUGGAAUUCCCGGUGUAGUGGUGAUAUGCGUAGAUAUCGGGAGGAACACCAGUGGCGAAGGCGGCUCUCUGGGCCUUUCCUGACGCUGAGACGCGAAAGCGUGGGGAGCGAACCGGAUUAGAUACCCGAGUAGUC
rnacentral:rRNA from 1 species